rnacentral:rRNA from 1 species
CAGUCGAACGGCAGCACGGGUGCUUGCACCUGGUGGCGAGUGGCGAACGGGUGAGUAAUACAUCGGAACGUACCUUAUCGUGGGGGAUAACGCAGCGAAAGCUGUGCUAAUACCGCAUACGCCCUGAGGGGGAAAGCGGGGGAUCGAAAGACCUCGCGCGAUUAGAGCGGCCGAUGCCUGAUUAGCUUGUUGGUGGGGUAAAAGCCCACCAAGGCGACGAUCAGUAGCUGGUCUGAGAGGACGAUCAGCCACACUGGGACUGAGACACGGCCCAGACUCCUACGGGAGGCAGCAGUGGGGAAUUUUGGACAAUGGGGGAAACCCUGAUCCAGCAAUGCCGCGUGAGUGAAGAAGGCCUUCGGGUUGUAAAGCUCUUUUGUCAGGGAAGAAACACCGGCUCUAACACAGUCCGGGAAUGACGGUACCUGAAGAAUAAGCACCGGCUAACUACGUGCCAGCAGCCGCGGUAAUACGUAGGGUGCGAGCGUUAAUCGGAAUUACUGGGCGUAAAGCGUGCGCAGGCGGUUAUACAAGACAGGCGUGAAAUCCCCGGGCUAAACCUGGGAAUGGCGCCUGUGACUGUAUAGCUAGAGUGUGUCAGAGGGGGGUAGAAUUCCACGUGUAGCAGUGAAAUGCGUAGAUAUGUGGAGGAAUACCAAUGGCGAAGGCAGCCCCCUGGGAUAACACUGACGCUCAUGCACGACAGCGUGGGGAGCGAACAGGAUUAGAUACCCUGGUAGUCCACGCCCUAAACGAUGCUGACUAGUUGUUCGGGAUUUACAUCCUGAGUAACGUAGCUAACGCGUGAAGUCAGCCGCCUGGGGAGUACGGUCGCAAGAUUAAAACUCAAAGGAAUUGACGG